GGGCCCUUAGCUCAGUGGUAGAGCGGUUGCCCGCAAAGUAAUUGGUCACCGGUUCGAAUCCGAUAGGGCCCU